UCUAAAUCAAAACGGUGCGUACCGGACCUCUUCUUCUUCGCGCCGCUGAAGUUUCUGGUUGAAGUCACCCAAGGCUUUCCGUUCUCGUUCUGGUUUCCAUGGCCGGUGAGCCGAUGGUUCAGGACCAAAGGCAGCGCACUUUGCAGGCACUGGAGAGAAGGUUCGAGGCUGCCAAAGCCGAACUCGAUUUCCACCAAACGAAGAACACAAAGAGAUUGAAAACCGAAGGACCCCCAAGAUUGAAACCACAUGCCGCAAUUUCUUCAGCUAUUGAUUCUUCACCCAAGUUAGCCAACACACCAAAAGCAACUCCAUCGAAGAAAGGGAAUUUCACAUUUACUGGCUAUGUGAAUUCACAAGAUAUCGACGAGAAUGGUCCAACGUAUGCUAAACUAUCGCACCCUAUAGAUGAGCGUCUACUAGCAGCUAGUAAUGUUGAGGUCUCUGGUAGAGAAGAAAGUAAAGUUAGAAAUGUGUUGCAUGAGCUUUUUCAGAGUGGCGACUCUGCGCAGAAGUAUAUGCAAGGAUCAAAACGCAAAGACAUCGGCAACUGGAUGCUCCUUGAUAAUUAUGUGAAAGGACGUGGAGCUUCUGGCUUCCGUGCCAGGGCGUUGCAGAGGAAUUCAAAGCGAUCGAGGAAGCGUAUGUCGAUGAAGCAGCAAAAGAAGAAUGGAUUGUUUGAUUUUCCUCGAGAGCUGCAUAGCUAUGAUAAAUUUAAGCCAAUGCAUGAGAUGUGGAAAGGCUAUAUCACACAACUUCUCAAAACUACUGGGAAAACACAGCUGGCUCAGUCUCUUCUUAUUGCAGAUCUACAUGGUGCUAUUAUUUCAGCAGUUGUUGACUGUAAAGUGACUUCCUACACUGGAGUGAGUGGUAUCAUGAUCCGUGAAACAGCAGAAACAUUUGGCAUAAUUACAGAAGAUGAUAAAUUCCGAGUGGUGCCAAAAAGGUUUUCUGUUUUUGUAUUUCAAGUGGAUUGCUUGAAGAUUACCUUGCAUGGGGACAAACUGACUUCAAGAAACUUGGGUUCAUGAUCUCAGACAUGAUCAUUGCAGGACAGAUGAUCGUCAUCUUGUAAUAUAGAUAGUCAGUAUUUGUCAUGUUACAGCUUUCAGGAGUUUCAUUGAAGUUAAUGCCGAAAUGUCAAGUUUAUCGAUUGAACAGCAGGAUGAGCAGCUGGGAGGGCUUUGGCAUCAACGUUCAAAGGGUACUGAAUAUGACAUGAAGACUGGAGACUCACAAUUGCCAGUUGGUAUUUGACAUGAUUGCCGGCCACAAAAUACAGAAUGAGAAAAACCACAAAGUUGUCGGAGUUUAGGAAAGGAUCUAAUACUUGUCUCUUACUCCUCUUAGGUGGUCUUCUGGUGCAUCCUAAUUUUUGUCUCUUAGGGGGUCUUCUGUUUCAUCAUGUUUCAGUUAUAAGCAGUACGACAUUCAAAGAAGAUUAUGUAUGAUAUGCUUGAUUUAAUAACAAUCUGUAUACUGAUCAUACCAUCACAUCUC